AGCGAACGCUGGCGGCAGGCUUAACACAUGCAAGUCGAGCGCCGUAGCAAUACGGAGCGGCAGACGGGUGAGUAACGCGUGGGAACGUACCUUCUGGUUCGGAAUAACUCAGGGAAACUUGAGCUAAUACCGGAUAAGCCCUUCGGGGAAAGGAUUUAUCGCCGGAAGAUCGGCCCGCGUAAGAUUAGCUAGUUGGUGAGGUAAUGGCUCACCAAGGCUACGAUCUUUAGCUGGUCUGAGAGGAUGAUCAGCCACAUUGGGACUGAGACACGGCCCAAACUCCUACGGGAGGCAGCAGUGGGGAAUAUUGGACAAUGGGCGCAAGCCUGAUCCAGCCAUGCCGCGUGAGUGAUGAAGGCCUUAGGGUUGUAAAGCUCUUUUAGCAGGGACGAUAAUGACGGUACCUGCAGAAAAAGCCCCGGCCAACUUCGUG
rnacentral:rRNA from 1 species